AAACUUGAGCUAAUACCGGAUAAGCCCGAGAGGGGAAAGAUUUAUCGCCGAAGGAUUGGCCCGCGUCCGAUUAGCUAGUUGGUGAGGUAAUGGCUCACCAAGGCGACGAUCGGUAGCUGGUCUGAGAGGAUGAUCAGCCACACUGGGACUGAGACACGGCCCAGACUCNUACGGGAGGCAGCAGUGGGGAAUAUUGGACAAUGGGCGCAAGCCUGAUCCAGCCAUGCCGCGUGAGUGAUGAAGGCCCUAGGGUUGUAAAGCUCUUUCGCCAGGGACGAUAAUGACGGUACCUGGAUAAGAAGCCCCGGCUAACUUC
rnacentral:rRNA from 1 species